UACAGAGGGUGCAAGCGUUGCUCGGAAUUAUUGGGCGUAAGGGUAGGUAGGUGGUCUCAUUUGUCCGGGGUGAAAGCCUUGAGCUUAACUCAAGAAGUGCCCCGGAAACGGUGAGACUGGAGUCUUGGAGAGGGUCGUGGAAUUCCCGGUGUAGCGGUGAAAUGCGCAGAUAUCAGGAGGAACACCAAUGGCGAAGGCAGCUCGCUGGGACGGUACUGACGCUGGAGACGCGAAAGCGUGGGGAGCAAACAGG
rnacentral:rRNA from 1 species